rnacentral:tRNA from 1 species
GCGCCCGUGGCUCAAUGGAUAGGGCACAACGUUGCGGACGUUGAGGUUACAGGUUCGAGUCCUGUCGGGCGCG